ensembl:lncRNA
CAGGGACUGACUUAUACCUGGGGUGGCUGCAAUUCAUUACCAGGGAGAACAGAAAAGCAGCAGGCUCUGGACCUCGUAGGGUCAGAGUUCAAUUCUCCUGAUAUACAGUAAAAUCUCCAGUUCCUUAUUGUAACCUGGGUGUUUGACUGUUGAGUCAGUCAACAACGCUACAUUGUUGCUUCCGUGUUUGGCAAGACAAAGACAACAGACUUCCCUACAGCUGAAACACACAACUCCCCAGGCGACGUUGAAGACCUACUGAGCAACAAUUCCCUUGAAAUAUUUCCGCCACACAUUCCAGGCUAUGUUGAAAAAGUUGAAACAUCUAAGGUAUAGAGUCAGUGUUGGAUGUUGAGUGUUGAGUGUCUGUCAUCUGAGUAGUCUAUGGCCUCCUGCUAUGGUGACUAUGGCGACGUUUGGCAUAUGUUCCUUUCUCUGCUCUCCCAGUGCAAAAAUGCUGUCCUUCAAUCUAGGUUUUACAGUUCUAUUUCUGCUUCUCUCUAUCAAAGAGAGAACAGCUAGACCUGUUCAACAUCUCUUCAACAAAACACUCCUAUGUUUUCACUCUGUUUUCCAGUUCUAUACCUGCUUUUCUCUGUAAUAGAUAUAGGACAACUAGAACUGUUCUAUUUAAAUGCUCUCUAUACGCUCCCUCUACUUCUCCCUCUAUGUUUUCUAGUUCUAUCUGCGCUCCAGUGUGUAACUACUCCAGUGUUUGGAUUGGUUAGAUCCAGAUGUAGACAGAACAUUGAAAGAUACUGUAGUAGUAGAAAUGACAUGUCUCUGUGUGUGUGUGUGUGAUGUCCUGAGCUUCUCGCUCCAGAUCUAAGAUCAGCUUCCCCUCCACCAAAUCUAACAUUAACCAUUAGCAAGGAAAAUGCUAAACUGACCCAAGAUCAGUGUCUAAGGGUGCAUUCCCCCUACACCGAGCUUCUCCUUUCAGUGCUUCACUAUCCAUAUGUUCUAUCCCACUUUACUCAUGUUAUCCCCAGUUACACCAGUCAUAUUCCCAGGACAGUUAUCCCCAGUUACACCAGUCAUAUUCCCAGGACAUUAACCCCAGUGACACCAGUCAUAUUCCCAGGACAGUUAUCCCCAGUUACACCAGUCAUAUUCCCUGGACAGUUAUCCCCAGUGACACCAGUCAUAUUCCCAGGACAGUUAUCCCAGUUACACCAGUCAUAUUCCCAGGACAGUUAUCCCCAGUUACACCAGUCAUAUUCCCAGGACAGUUAUCCACAGUUACACCAGUCAUAUUCCCAGGACAGUUAUCCCCAGUGACACCAGUCAUAUUCCCAGGACAGUUAUCCCAGUUACACCAGUCAUAUUCCCAGGACAGUUAUCCCCAGUUACACCAGUCAUAUUCCCAGGACAGUUAUCCCAGUUACACCAGUCAUAUUCCCAGGACAGUUAUCCCCAGUUACACCAGUCAUAUUCCCAGGACAGUUAUCCCAGUUACACCAGUCAUAUUCCCAGGACAGUUAUCCCCAGUUACACCAGUCAUAUUCCCAGGACAGUUAUCCCCAGUUACACCAGUCAUAUUCCCAGGACAGUUAUCCCAGUUACACCAGUCAUAUUCCCAGGACAGUUAUCCCAGUUACACCAGUCAUAUUCCCAGAACAGUUAUCCUAGUUACACCAGUCAUAUUCCCAGGACAGUUAUCCCCAGUGACACCAGUCAUAUUCCCAGGACAGUUAUCCCAGUUACACCAGUCAUAUUCCCAGGACAGUUAUCCCCAGUGACACCAGUCAUAUUCCCAGGACAGUUAUCCCCAGUUACACCAGUCAUAUUCCCAGGACAGUUAUCCCAGUUACACCAGUCAUAUUCCCAGGACAGUUAUCCCAGUUACAACAGUAGGAUAACAUUGUUUAUCUGAGAACAGUUUCCAUUGUCAACCCAGUACAUUCCAGUGAAAAUAUCCACAUCCAAGCUUUGCAUUGUCUCUUAGAAAUAGAUGGCCUCAAGCACCAUUUUGGGCCAAUAAGAUUUCAGUUCUAUUCUCAGCAACCAAUCAUAGUCAAGCUGUAGAGAGGGGCGUGUUCCAUGGCAUCUAAAUCAA